rnacentral:rRNA from 1 species
UCGGGAAUUUUGCUCAAUGGGGGAAACCCUGAAGCAGCAACGCCGCGUGAGGGAUGAAGGCCUUCGGGUUGUAAACCUCUUUUGUCAGGGACGAUGAUGACGGUACCUGGCGAAUAAGCCACGGCUAACUACGUGCCAGCAGCCGCGGUAAUACGUAGGUGGCAAGCGUUGUCCGGAUUUACUGGGCGUAAAGAGCGCGCAGGCGGUCGGAUAAGUCGAGUGUGAAAGCCCCUGGCUCAACCAGGGAGGGUCAUUCGAUACUGUUCGACUCGAAGGCAGGAGAGGGAAGUGGAAUUCCGGGUGUAGUGGUGAAAUGCGUAGAUAUCCGGAGGAACACCAGUGGCGAAGGCGACUUUCUGGCCUGUUCUUGACGCUGAGGCGCGAAAGCUAGGGGAGCAAACGG